rnacentral:rRNA from 2 species
GCCUUACAAGGGCCGCGAAUUUCUGGAGCCCAACCUUGGGAGGGUGGAUCGGCCACACACUGGAACUGAAGACCCGGUCCAAGACUCCCUACCGGGAAGGCAAGCAGUAGGGAAUCUUCCGGCAAUGGGGCGAAAGCCUGACGGAAGCAACGCCGCGUGAGUGAUGAAGGUCUUCGGAUCGUAAAACUCUGUUAUUAGGGAAGAACAUACGUGUAAGUAACUAUGCACGUCUUGACGGUACCUAAUCAGAAAGCCACGGCUAACUACGUGCCAGCAGCCGCGGUAAUACGUAGGUGGCAAGCGUUAUCCGGAAUUAUUGGGCGUAAAGCGCGCGUAGGCGGUUUUUUAAGUCUGAUGUGAAAGCCCACGGCUCAACCGUGGAGGGUCAUUGGAAACUGUAAAACUUGAGUGCAGAAGAGGAAAGUGGAAUUCCAUGUGUAGCGGUGAAAUGCGCAGAGAUAUGGAGGAACACCAGUGGCGAAGGCGACUUUCUGGUCUGUAACUGACGCUGAUGUGCGAAAGCGUGGGGAUCAAACAGGAUUAGAUACCCUGGUAGUCCACGCCGUAAACGAUGAGUGCUAAGUGUUAGGGGGUUUCCGCCCCUUAGUGCUGCAGCUAACGCAUAAGCACUCCGCCUGGAGACACCGCCUUGU